rnacentral:sRNA from 1 species
AAAUACACAACGCAAAAAUUCACAUUCUCGGGAUAGAAUUUGAUACGAGGUACUCCUUCGCCUCGGUGUUGGACGUACCCAGGACUGUUGAACUCUCCCGGACAGAAUGGAGAUCAGACACACAGCGAACGAUCUUGGGUGCGGCGUGUCCCUCGCCUUCAAGGUAUGGGAUGGGCCGCAAUGAUUGAGCGUACAU